AGAUCAGAGGGCGAAUAAAAGAGGCACAAGAUAGACAGAAAUCUUACGCUGAUGCACGUCGAACUGAGUUAUGUUUUGAAAUAGGAGACAAGGUCUUCCUAAAGGUAUCUCCUACCAAGGGGAUAACUAGGUUGGUGUCAAGGGAAAACUUAGGCCCCGAUUCGUAGGACCUUAUGAGAUUUUGGAGAGAAUAGGCCCAGUAGCCUAUAGGUUGGCGUUACCGCCAAGCUUUGGAAACGUUCACAAUGUUUUCCACGUAUCACAACUCAGAAAAUACGUUUUCGAUCCAAAGCACAUAAUCCACCAAGAAGAGAUCAUCAUUUGCCCAGACUUGAGCUAUGAAGAGAGACCAGAGGUCAUUCUAGAUCGAAAAGUACAACAACUCAGGAAUAAGGCAAUCACAUCAGUGAAAGUCUUAUGGAGACACCACGGACAAGAGGAAGCCACGUGGGAGCUUGAAGACAAAAUGAAGGAGAAAUACCCCGAACUGUUUUAGAAGAAAUAUGCAAAUUUCGGGACGAAAUUUUUGUUAAGAGGGGUAGUAUGUAGUGACCCGCUCUUUUAUAUAUUUUAAAUCCAGUAAUGAGUGUUUAUUUUUGUUCAUCAGUGAAUGAAAACGGUUUUUAUCCUAAUAUGAAUUCAGCUUAUGAUCCUGAAUUUAUAUUGUUAAAGCAGUUAAUGAUAUUAUUUCAGAGUUAUAACUGACUUAGCAAAGUCACGUUAUUUAUUUAAGCGAGAUGAAAUUUGAUUUUAUUUUUACUCAGAUCGUGAAUUAUUUCCGACUCAGGAAGUUAAUUAAAUCUGCGGAUUUAAUUUAGAUAUCAGAACAACGAACGAAUUAAAUCUACGGAUUUAAUUUAGAUUCAUUUUAUAAUUUAUCGGUUUUAGUGAGAAAUCACAUGUCGAAAUACGAGAUUUAUUUAAAUAAACAGUAUCAAGCAUAUACGAGCACACGAUCCAUCUUACAGUUACAGAAUCACCGAGACAGAGAAAAUACAUCAAUAAUUCUCCUCUACAUUUUUUUUUCCCUUCUUUUUCUUCUCUUUUUCUUUCCAUUAAUUUUGUUCCCCACUCCAUCAACUCCACUACCCUAUGCUCCCCACCAUCUCCACUACCUUUGCUCCCCAUCAACUCCAACACUUCACCCAUUCCUUCCAUUUCGCACCAGCAAUCACAAAGAGAAGGAAGACUUGGCUUAACUACUUUGCCAAGAUUUCAAGCUGCUCCAGUCCAGUAGUACCCCAACACUCGAAGCUAGAGUUUAUUGGGUGAAAAACCGUGCAUGAGGUCGAGCGCAAGAAUAAGAGCUCGUCAAGGAGUCACUAAUCUGUAGCAAAGCUUUGCUAUCAGGUUGAGCAGCUGCCGAUGGUGAUGAAGUGACGAGCGGGACUCUUUUGUCUUAUUAUGUAUUAAUGAACUCUAGGGUUACAUGUCUUCAUACAUGUAAUCAGAACCUUAUUCCGCUGCGUACUCAGAAGUUUUAUGUUAUUUUGGAUAAGUCGGAGUUAUCCGAACUUGUUAGUUAUUUGAGUCUAUACGACAAAAACUCUGUUAUAUUAUAGAUAUCUAUGUUGUUAACAAUGAUGAAAUACGAUCCUUUCUUGUUUGAUUA